UUUAUCUACUGUAAAUAGGUAUUUUUGCUGAUCUUUAUGCGAAGCCUAUAACUUGUCUCCAUUUUCAGAAACCAUCAUGGGAGAAGGCAGCAAAACAAAUAAAAGAGAGAUAUGAUCCAGAAAUGGACGGACGUGUUCUCGUGGCAAAAGUUGACUGCACCCAAGAAGCUGAUCUCUGUCGGAGGUAU